rnacentral:rRNA from 1 species
CACGUAGGGUGCGAGCGUUGUCCGGAAUUAUUGGGCGUAAAGGGCGCGUAGGCGCCUUCUAAGUCGAACGUGAAAUCCCUGGGCUCAACCCCAGGAACUGCGUCCGAUACUGGAAGGCUUGAAUCCGGGAGAGGGAUGCGGAAUUCCAGGUGUAGCGGUGAAAUGCGUAGAUAUCUGGAGGAACACCGGUGGCGAAGGCGGCAUCCUGGACCGGUAUUGACGCUGAGGCGCGAAAGCCAGGGGAGCCAAACGGGG